rnacentral:sRNA from 1 species
UUAAUGGCAUAUUUCAAAACUAUGAUAUUUAUAAUGGCAUGGUUCCAAUUAACCCCUUUUUUUUUACCUAA